ACAUGCAUACAACAUAGUGUUCAUUCACUGUAUCCCAUUAGAACUCCAUAAUUAAGUGCGCUCGAUAUAGAGUAGUAUUGGAAUGGAUGAUUGCCUAGGAAGUCUUAGUAAUUUACAUUCC
rfam:Picea glauca, whole genome shotgun sequence.